GGGGCUGUGGCUCAGCGGUUGAGUGUGGCCUAGUAUGCGCAAGGCCCUGGGUUCAAUCCUCAGCACCACA
rnacentral:tRNA from 1 species